rnacentral:rRNA from 1 species
UGGAAACGGGGUCUAAUACCGGAUACUGACCAUCUUGGGCAUCCAAGGUGUUCGAAAGCUCCGGCGGUGCAGGAUGAGCCCGCGGCCUAUCAGCUUGUUGGUGAGGUAAUGGCUCACCAAGGCGACGACGGGUAGCCGGCCUGAGAGGGCGACCGGCCACACUGGGACUGAGACACGGCCCAGACUCCUACGGGAGGCAGCAGUGGGGAAUAUUGCACAAUGGGCGAAAGCCUGAUGCAGCGACGCCGCGUGAGGGAUGACGGCCUUCGGGUUGUAAACCUCUUUCAGCAGGGAAGAAGCGAAAGUGACGGUACCUGCAGAAGAAGCGCCGGCUAACUACGUGCCAGCAGCCGCGGUAAUACGUAGGGCGCGAGCGUUGUCCGGAAUUAUUGGGCGUAAAGAGCUCGUAGGCGGCUUGUCACGUCGGUUGUGAAAGCCCGGGGCUUAACCCCGGGUCUGCAGUCGAUACGGGCAGGCUAGAGUUCGGUAGGGGAGAUCGGAAUUCCUGGUGUAGCGGUGAAAUGCGCAGAUAUCAGGAGGAACACCGGUGGCGAAGGCGG